rnacentral:rRNA from 1 species
UUCGGGAACUCUGACACGAGGUGCUGCAUGGCUGUCGUCAGCUCGUGUCGUGAGAUGGUUGGGUUAACGUCCCGUAACGAGCGCAACCCUUGUCCUUAGUUACCAGCACGUUAUGGUGGGCACUCUAAGGAGACUGCCGGUGACAAACCGGAGGAAGGUGGGGAUGACGUCAAGUCAUCAUGGCCCUUACGGCCUGGGCUACACACGUGCUACAAUGGUCGGUACAAAGGGUUGCCAAGCCGCGAGGUGGAGCUAAUCCCAUAAAACCGAUCGUAGUCCGGAUCGCAGUCUGCAACUCGACUGCGUGAAGUCGGAAUCGCUAGUAAUCGUGAAUCAGAAUGUCACGGUGAAUACGUUCCCGGGCCUU